rnacentral:rRNA from 1 species
AAUCAACGCUGGCGGCGUGCCUCAGACAUGCAAGUCGAACGAUUAAAGCUCCCUUCGGGGAGUGCAUAGAGUGGCGCACGGGUGAGUAACACGUAAGUAAUCUACCUUUGAGUGGGGAAUAACGUUCGGAAACGGACGCUAAUACCGCAUAAUGCAGCGGCAUCGCAAGAUGACAGUUGUUAAAGGAGCAAUCCGCUUAAAGAGGAGCUUGCGGCAGAUUAGCUUGUUGGUAAGGUAACGGCUUACCAAGGCUACGAUCUGUAUCCGGUCUAAGAGGACGGUCGGACACACUGACACUGAAUAACGGGUCAGACUCCUACGGGAGGCAGCAGUCGGGAAUUUUGGCAAUGGGCGAAAGCCUGACCCAGCAACGCCGCGUGAAGGAUGAAGUAUUUCGGUAU